rnacentral:rRNA from 1 species
UACGUAGGGUGCGAGCGUUGUCCGGAAUUAUUGGGCGUAAAGAGCUUGUAGGCGGUUUGUCGCGUCUGCUGUGAAAAUCCGGGGCUUAACCCCGGACCUGCAGUGGGUACGGGCAGACUAGAGUGUGGUAGGGGAGACUGGAAUUCCUGGUGUAGCGGUGAAAUGCGCAGAUAUCAGGAGGAACACCAGGUGGCGAAGGCGGUCU